GAAGAACAAGAAGUCUAUUAGGUCAUACAAACAAGCAAGCAAAUCGUUGAUCACCAAUCUAAUUGAAAACAAACCAGGAGCAAGUACUUGUGAUGAACUUGCUCUAAAAGUUCAUAAUCUACCAUUGUUUAAAAGGCGUCGCCUAGACGACGCCUAGGUACGCCUAGGUGUCCAGGCGACAUUUUUUGCUUGGCGUCCGCGGCGCCCAGGUAAACUUGAGUAUGGCGUCCGCCUAGGCGCGGUAGGCGUCUGGGCGACGCCUUUCUCCCCCCUGGGCGAUGCCUAACCUAGGGUUUGUUGGCGCUGGAUUUUGGCGCCCGAUGCGCUAGCUUUGGCGGGCGUUGCCCCUGUAAAUUGGCGCGUGUUCCCCUUGUGCGCGGCUGCUCCUCCCCUUGCGCGCGCGGCUCUUCCUGUGCGCGCGGCUGCUCCUCCCUGCGUGCCCUGUGCUCGCCGCUCGCGGCUGCUGCUCGCCUGCUCGCGGCUGCUGCUCGCUGGGCGCGCGGCUGGCUGGCUGCUCCCCCUCCCUGGGCGCCCCUCACUGGUAGAUUGGUAGACUGGUAGGUCCUCCUCCCCUGCUUUCUCUCAGGUGUCAAGACUCAAGAAUGAUGUUCCUCCUCCCCUGCUUUCCCUGCCCCCUGUAACAGCUGUUUGGUUGCUUGGUAUUUGACUAGUAAGGCGUCGCCUAGGCGUUCAGGCGGUGGCUGAGCGCCUAGUUCCGCCUAGCCGCCUUUAAAACCAUGUAAUCUACCAAGAUUGGUAAAUCUGACGGAUCUGCUAAGUAAAAAAAAACAUAUACAUAGCUACAACUAGCAGUCAUGAUGAUCAGACACUGGAAAGACAAAUAACAAUAAUAAAA
rnacentral:lncRNA from 1 species